UCCUGGUUGGCUCAGUUGGAAGGGCUUGAGACUCUCGAUCUCGGGGCCGUGAGUUCGAGCCCCACACUGGGGG